GUGCAGCAGAGGCACAUCGACCCUAGUAGACAGGGUAUCCUCUUGUGAGGAUUGGAUCAUACUCACCAGUCUGUUUUGCUUGUCGGUGGUCGCUCCACCGAGGCACGAGUCUCCGGAGUACUUCACUAGGGGCAGACGUAGUUGUCCCGCAGACGGUCUCGGUGUGCGAGUGCAGCUUCUCCUCACCUAUGAGAUUGAGAGUGAGUCGAGGGUUAACCUACGGGUUAACCAAGUAGAUUGGGUAAUAAACAUGAAAUGCAUAGUAGACUUGCAUUAUUAUCUUGAGUAGACAUAGUGUAUGUUGUAGAUUACAUUGCUAUGCAUCUUUAUAUACUCAUGACAUGAUUCUAGCAUGAUGGUAGUUGUUGCAUGCAUUAUCACCAUCGAUGGCAUGAUAGAGUAGUUGCAGUUC
rnacentral:lncRNA from 1 species